UCAUUUAUUAAACCUCAUUUUAUCAACAGAAUAAUAUUAAAUUCUUUAUUCAUAAUAGUGAUUGUUUUAAUGUAAAAAAUAAAUCCCUUUUGGUGAAAACUGAUAGGCCUUUGCCUCUUCUACCCACAGAAGCACCAGACACUGAUAUGAAGGGUUCCCCAGAUCAACUUGUUAUGUUAAAAAUAAAAUACUUGGCCGACUCUGGCCACCCAUCAGUUUCAAGCUCACCAAACCAGAAAGAGUUCACAAAUGAGCUACCACCAUGAACACAGUCUGGUCUGAGAAGGGACGCUGUCUUCCUGGAUCACCUGUUCUUUUAAAAAACACACAUCCAGACUGCAGCUAGAGGUGACUGUCAGGCAAGAGAAAAACAUGUCUGUAUUCUAGUGGACAUGGCCAUAGAACCACCGAGGAGAACACUGGGAGCAGAGAGUGAAUGUGGGGGACUAACUUAUAUGUGAAAAAUCACUCAGCAAUGAAACCGUUGUUUUAAAUUAAGCACAUAGAAUCUAUUCUUGCUUUGCAAAGUGCAUUUACUUCAAGUAUAUUGUAGGAAACCUUGCAAGACGAGCCUAUAUGAAUAUAGUGAGUAUGGAUUUUCAACACCAAUUUUAAGGAGUGAAACAACUGCCUUGAAUUCAUAAGUGUAAUUCACUCACUUGAGAGCAGAGUAGAUGGGUGUGUACAUGGGUGCACAGAUCCACUGAUAGACACUUGCUGUCUAGACCUCCUGUUGGGGUGAGCCAGGACUCCACCUUCUUGGGCCUCUGGGCUUCUCUCUGUAAUAAGCUCUGUCCCUCCUAGUUCAGGGACACAAAUUUAGUCUCAGAGCUGUUUGCAGACAGACUUUAAAAAGCU
rnacentral:lncRNA from 1 species